CCUACGGGAGGCAGCAGUGAGGAAUAUUGGUCAAUGGGCGCGAGCCUGAACCAGCCAAGUAGCGUGAAGGAUGACUGCCCUACGGGUUGUAAACUUCUUUUAUAAAGGAAUAAAGUGAGGCACGUGUGCCUUUUUGUAUGUACUUUAUGAAUAAGGAUCGGCUAACUCCGUGCCAGCAGCCGCGGUAAUACGUAGGUGGCAAGCGUUAUCCGGAUUUACUGGGUGUAAAGGGCGUGUAGGCGGGGACGGAAGUCAGAUGUGAAAACCACGGGCUCAACCUGUGGCUUGCAUUUGAUACUGGGUUUCUUGAGUACAGGAGAGGCAGACGGAAUGCCUGGUGUAGCGGUGAAAUGCGUAGAUAUUAGGAAGAACACCAGUGGCGAAGGCGGUCUACUGGACAGCAACUGACGCUGAGGCGCGAAAGCGUGGGGAGCAAACAGGAUUAGAUACCCCGGUAGUC
rnacentral:rRNA from 1 species